AAGUCGUAACAAGGUUUCCAUAGGUGAACCUGCGGAAGGAUCAUUAACACGUAUCCAAACAACCCCGUGAACAUACAACCUGCUCUGGUCGCCCGCUCGCAUGAGUCGUCCUUGACGCUCCAGCGACACUUUCAUUCACUGGUCACUUGGGGACGCCGUGUCACUUGACCUACCGCUUCUAUGAAUCGCUGUCAGUUUUUCUCACGCGCACAGAGGUCCCAAAUCAAAAACUUUCCGGGGCUUGAUUUACUGGGCUUGUCCAUUCAAGAUUGCUAGAGGUCGACCACCGACCGGCUUCCGUGUAUACUGAGCUAACACCGCUCCCUUCCGAACCCCACUUUAUUGCCUUGCCUGUAAGCAUCCAUACGGAUGGGCAGGCCCGAACAACUGUUAACAAUGGAUAUCUUGGUUCUC
rnacentral:misc_RNA from 1 species